AUCAACAGAACUAUUUUGUCAUUGAUGCCCCCUGCCUCAAGAACUAUAACAAUGAGGAGGAACUUCUGGUAGAGUACUGGAAAAGAGGCUACCAGUACUCUUGAGAUCUCAACAUUUUUUAGCAACUUUCAUGACGUGGAUCUAAGGCAGGUAGUACUAUAUAUUAUAUCAGGG